CCUAGUCCUGCUGUGGAUAGCAGUCUUGUGCUUGGAAAACUGAUAAAUGGCCAAGUUGGAAGGCUCCAUGACUUGCGCUAAGAUCAAGGGUUGGAUGCUUAACAGACUGAGCCAUCCAGGUUCCCCACUGAAACCUCCAUCUUAAAAUCUACACUAUGAGCAGUUGUAAACAGAGAUGGAAAAUUGGUGACAUAAAAGAACAGACUUCUAAGAGUGGACAGUAGGACACUGUUCCUGACACAGGGCUCCUGAACCUGGUAAGUUCCUAAGUGAUAAGAAAACUAAGAGCAUAUUUUGUCCUAAUCUUUGACCCUGG
rnacentral:lncRNA from 1 species